CUGUCAACUGAUAGAGAUAUUCCGUAUGUGAGACAUUUUUAUCCUUCUCCAGACUUCCAGUGUAACACACUCUUUCUCCUGGGGUGGUUAAUAAUCUUCUGAGCUCUUGGAAGAAUUACUUGCGAUUCAUAAUUUACAGUUCCAUCUCUUUUUAACUUUCAAAAUCUUCCAGUGUACUUGUCAUUUUGUAUUAAUGAUGUUCUUUUUUUUUUUUUAUGGCUAGUCAUUUGGAAAUUUUUAUAUUCACAGGUAAAACUGCUACAACUGGUUAUAUGUCACGUAGACUGAUUAAAUGCUUAGAGGAUAUAUCUGUUCAAUAUGACAUGACUGUAUGAAAUUCUAGCGGAUUCGUCAUUCAAUUUUUUUUACGGUGAUGAUGGAAUGGAUCCAUCUCAAAUGGAAGGGGCAAAAGGAUUUCCUCUAGAUCUCGAGAGAUUGCGCUUGAAAGUUGAGGCUACUUGUCCGGCUGGAAGAACUGAAAAACUGUCUCCUUCAGAAAUUUCUGAAAUUGUAAAUAAAAGGCUUUCAAAGGAUGAUGCAACUUCUUAUGGUGCUGGGUCUGAUGCCUUCAAUUAAGAAGAAGUUGUUGGUGUUCUUCGAAAAUAUGGGUAAAAGAAGGUGCAGUGUUUUUAUAAAGCAACUACAGGUAUUGUUUCUAAUAGUUUUAGACAGUAUUUUUAUUUCAGUAAUUAAAUAUUGCAUCAAUAGAGGAUCAGGAACCCCAAUUGGUACUCAAUUAAAGAAUAAGAGCUUGAUGGGAAGUAAGAUAGACUUCUCUAGUACACUAUACCACACAAUCCAUACAAACACAAACACACACACACGCACACAUAUACAUGCUACUACUACUCUGAAAUAGUCCCUCUAUAAUACUGAAAUUUGCACUUGCUUUUUUGUUGUCAAAACUCAACAAUGUUGAACAUGUUUUUUUGUAAAAUACUUCCUCCGUUUCACAAUACAUGCACCGUUUUGACUUUCACGUUUGCCAACAUACAAUUUCGACCAUUAAUAACUUUGACGGUAUAUUAGAAAAACUUUUAAAAAGUUAAUAUUUUGAAAAUAUACAUUAAGUAUGUACGAACUUCUACUUUUACGUAUUAGACUAUUAGUUAUAAAAUUUGGUCAAUAUUAGUAUAUAUGCAUUUUUCCCUAGCAAACUGUUGUAGCUUAUUUCAUAAGGAGGAAGAAUCCUUUAAUCACCUUUUACCCUUUUGUUGAUUUGCCUUCUUUGGCACAUAUCUUUUGUCUUGUUUGGGAUGAGCUCAUUUCAAAUUUGUUUUGUGAAUAAAAUUAUUGGGCCUUGGAAAAGAAGGAUUAAGAAAGGUUGAAAGGUUGGCUUGCUGAAGUGUAGAAAUGGUUUCAUUGGCAAUUUGGUGUCCUUGGAAAAGAAAGAACCAAUGGAUAUUUGAGGUAGAGGUUGUUAAGUUAUGAUACAUAUGAAUAAACAUAAAUCAUGCGGAAAAACCAUAAAGCCAGGAAACAUAUUAUUUACACAUAAUCAUUUAGCAUAAUUCAGAUGCAUACACUUUGUAGCGUGCCCUCCCUAGCUGCGCCCGAACCGAACAAGAACAAGUCUUUAGGACUCCAAGUGUCGUCCCUCCGUAGAUAGUCCACAGCACGUCCGGAUCCGCCUUAAGCUUGACCAACUAGAAUCGCCCUUAAGGUUACUAGGAUUUUCGGCUAUUUGGGUUGCAAGUGUUUGCCUGAUUUUUGCUUGAAAAUCUUACCUUUUGAAUACUUCAAAUCUCGAUGCAAAUAUGUGACCCUAGGCACCUAUUUAUAGAGUUUAUGGAAAGGAAUUAUAAUCCUACUAGGAUAUGGAUUUAUUAAUUAGAAUCCUAUUAGAACUCUAAAUAAUAAAUUUAAUCUUUUAGGAUUAGGAUUUACUCAAUGUACGAAUUCCGAUAGGAUUAGGAUUCGUUACGAACACGAGCACACGCACACGCAUGCACGCCCGCACGCAGGCCUUGCGGCCCACGCCAAGCGCACAGCGCAUGCGGCCUCGCAGCCCCAUGGGCUUCGUGCGCGCCCGCCAUUGCUUGGCUGGGCCUGGCCUUGCGUUGGGCCUGGUCGAGCACUUGGCGUGCGGCUUGCUGGGGGUUGGCCUGGCCUCGUGCUGGGCCUUCGUCUAGCAAGCCUCGUCCGAUGCUAAUUCGUACGAUACGCUUUCCGAUUAAAUUCCCGAUUCCGGAAUUCAUUUCCGAUACGAACAAUAUUUAAUAUUUCCGAUUCCGGAAUUAAUUUUCGUUUCGAACAAAUAUUUAAUAUUUCCGUUUCCGGAAUUAUUUUCCGAUUCCGAUAAUAUUUCCGAUUCUGACAAUAUUUCCGUUUCCGGCAAUAUUUCCGAUUCCGGCAAUAUUUCCAUUUCCGAUAAUAUUUUCCGAUACAUACCAUGUUUCCGUUUCCGGCAACAUCUACGACUUGGAUAAUAUUUAUAUUUCCGAUACGAUCCAUAUUUCCGUUUCCGGCAAUAUCAUCGUUUCCGGAGUAUUCAUUUCUUGAUUGUGACGAUCUCAGCUCCCACUGAAACCAAGAUCCGUCGAUUCCGAAUAUCCAUAGAUGGAGUAUUUAAUUCCAUUAAAUACUUGAUCCGUUUACGUACUAUUUGUGUGACCCUACGGGUUCAGUCAAGAGUAAGCCGUGGAUUAAUAUAAUUAAUUCCACUUGAACUGAAGCGGCCUCUAGCUAGGCAUUCAACUCACUUGAUCUCACUGAAUUAUUAACUUGUUAAUUAAUACUGAACCGCAUUUAUUAGACUUAAUAUUAUAUGCAUACUUGGACCAAGGGCAUUAUUUCCUUCAGAGGUUACUCACAUCAGCUUACAAUUCUUUAUUUUGAGGUUAUUGUAUAGCUUAGUCAAGUGUUAUAUUUCUGAAGUGCUCAUGAUGUUUGAUUUUGUAGAGAAUCCACUACAUGAAAGAAUAAGGACAUGAGUUUAAAUUAUAAUAAUUAUAAAGCCUAAUCAGACCUAUGAUUAAAAUUUUCCGUACUUCUUUACAAAAACAUAUCAAAUAUGUAUUACCCAGCUCCACUAAGUUUUAGAAUUUAAUGAAUUUGAUUUCAUACCGUUGACCUUCACGUCAUCUAUAACUUAUGUAGAGAACUUUUUCGUACUGCUUGUUGGCCUUUGAAGCAUUUGUGUCAUGUCUUUGUUACUUAUCUUGAUUUUGAAAAAUUGUUGUUGCCUUUUCUUAUUUUUGCGUUAUUUAUGCCAUUUCUUUCGUUUAGGAGUCGGUAGUCGCUUCACUUUUUUCCAUAUUUCUAUGCAAAAUACUUAUGUGGCUCUUACUUUGAACAUUUGUGAUUAGAAACUCUGAUCAAAUUAUUGUGUGUUGAUGGAUGUUGAAGGUUUUUUUAGAUACAUGUAUUUCUCGCCUUCAUUCGAAAGGGAUUGAAGCUGGAACUGGAAUAGGAGUGAUCGGAGCUCAAAGUAUUGGAGAGCCUGCAGGGACACAAAUGACUUUGAAAACUUUUCACUUUGCUGGAGUUGCCAGCAUGAAUAUCACCCUUGGAGUUCCACGUAUCAAUGAAAUCAUAAAUGGAAGCAAAAAAAUAAGUACUCCAAUUAUCAUGGAAAAACUUGAGGAUGAUCAGAUUAUGGAGAAUGCUCAAACUGUAAGAGGAAAUAUCGAGAAGACGAUGUUGGGUCAGGUUGCCAAGAGUAUAGUGCUCAUAAUGGAAUCAUUUGGAGCAUU